UUUGAAGCAACAAAUAGAGCUUUAAGUAGUGAUGGCUCAUGCUUGGCUUUUGCAGCUGCGCUUCCAGAGGAAUUUUCCAAGAGCCCUAUCCUGAGGAGAAAGUGGCAGAAGUGGACCUGAGCAGACUGGACAUCCCUGUAAGCAGACAUGAACAUCCUUGUCAGCAGACAUGAACAGUCCUCAACUUUCUGGCUCCCGCAUAACUGGCUUACCGAGGGAAAAGAAAUCAAACGUCAGCGUUUCCUCCCCUUCUCGGAUGGAAAGCGAGCAAGAGCAGUGAGCCUGCGAACAUUGUGGAUGCAAGUCAGGAGCCGUCCAGUUAGCAGUGGAGCAGUCGCUACCGUCAGUGAGAUAAGUGUGUGGUUUGGUGAGGGUUCUGCGUAGGGCCCCAAUGGCUCCAGGUAGGGACGCCCCGUUAGCUGGGGCUGGGUUUGUAAGAAAUGGUUCCUAAGCAGCUGUGGUUACGAGAGAGACAAGGUCCCCAUUUUCAGGGACUGCUCAUUUCUCUGCCCAGAUGCGGUGUGUCCUCGGAAGCAGAAGGUUGCAUCCAGGAGGAUGACUCCAGGUGGUGAGUUACUUGCCUUCCUCCCAUUUUUUUCUCUCUGUCUCUUUCUCUCUCUCCUCUAGUGUGUUGGCCAACUUUCUCACUCUCUUUCCUCUCCUCUCCUCGUGCCGUCUCCCUUCGUAGGACCACGGGCAUCCGUGCUAGGUGUGCAUCCUAGCCAGGUCUCGGGAGCCAUGGAGAAGUAGGAGCGGGGCAGUGGGCACAAAAGUGGAGCUGUGACUGUCUGUGUUUACUUAGUUUCUGUUCAUCGAGUGGGGCUGAUGUAGAUGGGACUGGAGAGGGAGGCAGGGAUGAGGGCAAGACUCGACGCCCCAAUAGAGCUCUGUGUAGUGAUAGUUGUUGCUUGGCUUUAUUAGUUUGCGGAGGAAUCGUCCAGGAGCCCUAGCCGGACAAGAAUAUGGCAGAAGUGGACCUGAGCAGUCUGGACAUCCUUCUAAGGAGAUAUGAAUAGUCCUCAUGUUUCUGCCUUCUGCAUCGCUGGCUGUGAGUAAGAGGUUUAGAGCCAAGGAAAACGAAGUCACGCGUCAGAGUCUACUGCCCUCAUGCGAUGGAAAGCGAGCGAGAGCGUUGAGACUCUGAGCAUUGUUGAUGCCACUCAAAAGCCGUCCAUCUGGGAGCUGUGGAGACGCCGCUGUCAGUGAGAUAAGUGUCUGGUUUGGUGAGGGCUCUGCUCACGCCCAACCUGAGUCCAGGUUGGGAAGCCCACUAAGUUGGGGCUG